UACGGGGGGGUAAGCGUUGUUCGGAAUUACUGGGCGUAAAGGGCUCGUAGGCGGCCAACUAAGUCAGACGUGAAAUCCCUCAGCUUAACUGGGGAACUGCGUCUGAUACUGGAUGGCUUGGAUUCGGGAGAGGAAUGCGGAAUUCCAGGUGUAGCGGUGAAAUGCGUAGAUAUCUGGAGGAACACCGGUGGCGAAGGCGGCAUCCUGGACCGGCAUUGACGCUGAGGAGCGAAAGCCAGGGGAGCAAACGGG
rnacentral:rRNA from 1 species